UAAUCUUUCAACGGUUAUCGCCGAUAUUAGUUGUCACUGUAAUAUUAUUUAUGACCGUUAUCUCAAAAUUACAAUCUUUGCCAUUUAUUACUAUUCUUCAGACAGAUUAAGUUUAACUUUUUGUGAUAGUUAAACAUAUAGGUUAAAGAACUCAUUUUUACUGUUUCAGGCACAAGAGGUUGUAUAGAAACCCAUCUAUUAUUUUCCUCUCAAAUGGAAAAAGAUCAACAUGACAGCAAUGAAAGUGGGCAGUGAUGGUGAUGAAGAUGGAAAUAAACUGACUAGACCAUCGAAUUCUAUGUCUAUUAUGGAAAAAGGGUCUAGUAAUACUUCACCUUUACACAUACUGUCCCUGGGACUCCUAAACAAUUGAAGAAUACGAUGGCUACCAUGUCAAUGACAUUUGCCGUUAUGUUGGUCAUCCCCUUAGGUUGCCAUAAAAAAAGAAGAAGAAAUUGCUUACAAAUCCCUGGGUCCCACCAUCAAAUUACGAUUCUACUGGCAUCAUAGUUCUGAUGCCAGCCAUUUGAAAAGAAAAUUUAAUUGCCACUGUUAGAUCAAUAUACUCCUUGGUUGGUGUGUGUACGCAAGUCAUUUAAAAGGUGCUCUAUGUAUGCACUGUGUUCUUUUUCCUACUAGUAUUGCUACAGUUAAGGAGUUUUGUAAGGUCAUACACAAAAUUUAAAGAUAUAGAUGAAGAUUAUAGGAAACAUGUCAGCAGUCACUAACUCAAAACUUCAACAACUGCUGCAAAAACAUUCCUUAAAAAUGUUCAAGUUGAUGUUGCAAAGAGGUCACCAGAAGAUCAUUGAAUAAAAUAAACUAAUAUUGUCAUCAAUUAGUUUUGGUAUUAUGUUUUUUAGAACUUCGAUUUGCCACUGAGAGAAAAGGAAGAGGGUUUAUUUUUACUUUUUAAAUUUGAGAAUUAACUCUAUGGUGAGGAGCUAAAGAUUGACAUGGAUAGAUUCAGUCUACACUUCAUCAAAAAGUUAAAAUGAGAGUAUAAUAUUAUGUGGUGAAGUUGUCAAAGAAAGCCUGCAGGAAUUCGGCUCCCAGUCCAUCAAAACUCUGUGAGACCAAAUGAUCUGAGAAAUACAAGAGCAUAUACAUUUUUCAGAGCUUCCUUGAAAUAGCCAAUGAGCUAGAACAUCUCUUGGUAGUAGGAAACUAUGUUAAGACAGUUUUCUUAUCGAAUACACUGUCCAGUUAUUAAACCAAUUUUCAUCAUAGCUUUAGUCAAUAUUGCAAAGUGCUAUGAAGUUUUAGAAACCCAAUGUGAACGUUCUACAAAGAAAAACACUUUAUUAUGAUGAGGGAACAUAUAGGUAAAAUCCUUGAUGUUAUCAAGAAGGAUUGACAAAAAAUUGAACAUGUUUCUGAUGAAUUACCUAAAUAUUCACAUGGUACCGCAGAGAAAGUCAGCAUUGAGUUAACAGUUCGACGAAAUGUUCAAAAGUAAAUAAACAGAAGUAAUCCACCAUCUGAGACUGCAAUUAAAUACUGAAGGCAGUCAUUGAUCAUCCUUUACCUUGACUCCUUAACUUUAUCGUUGAAUGUUAGAUUCUCACAUGAAAAUGUACCUGCUUUUGCCUAGCACGAGACAAAUUAAUGGACAUUAAAGUGGCUACACUUUUGGAGGAGGCUAAUGUUUCCUCUCUGCAACAAGGCAUGAACUCCUCAUUGUAAGGGCUCUCCCAUCCACUAUGGCUACUGUUGAACAAUCUUUCAGUAACCUUCAAAGGAUAAAGACCUGGCUGAGAAAUACAAUAUGAGAGGAUAGAUUGACUGGGUUGUGUUUGAUGAACACCCAGCGGAAAAUUCUUUAUGGAAAAUCAGGCGUGGAGUAAAACGAAAUUUUUGAAAAAGUUUUCUAAAAAUCCAAGAAACAUUAUACUUAUAAGACAUGUAGCUAAAAUGAAAAUAGUUUUUCAAGCAAAUACCUCGUAGUUUAUACAGCACUGUUAUAAUUAUAAAAAUUUUCUUAAAA
rnacentral:lncRNA from 1 species